UACGAAGGGGGCUAGCGUUGCUCGGAAUCACUGGGCGUAAAGCGCACGUAGGCGGCUUUUUAAGUCAGGGGUGAAAUCCUGGAGCUCAACUCCAGAACUGCCCUUGAAACUGGAAAGCUAGAAUCUUGGAGAGGCGAGUGGAAUUCCGAGUGUAGAGGUGAAAUUCGUAGAUAUUCGGAAGAACACCAGUGGCGAAGGCGACUCGCUGGACAAGUAUUGACGCUGAGGUGCGAAAGCGUGGGGAGCAAACAGG
rnacentral:rRNA from 1 species